rfam:Trichomalopsis sarcophagae strain Alberta scaffold2503, whole genome shotgun sequence.
UUCGCAGAUACGGCGACAUGGUACCGGAGACAAUAGCCGGCAAAAUAGUCGGCGGCGUGUGCUCGCUCAGCGGUGUGCUCGUGAUAGCCCUGCCCGUGCCCGUCAUCGUCAGCAAC